rnacentral:rRNA from 1 species
UACGGGGAGCUAGUGUUACUUAUCUUAACUGGGCGUAAAGGGUUCGUAGUUGUCUAAAAAUUCAAAUGGAGAAAGUUUAAAGCCUAACUUAGACCUUCUGAGAAAAAUUAUGACUUGAGUCGACAAAGGAUAACAGAAUUCUUAGAGAAGGAGUGAAAUCCAUCGAUACUAAUGAGGAAGCUACCGACCAGGUGAAGACGGGUUAUCUGUGGAGAACUGACACUAAGUGGAACGAAGCAUAGGGAGCAAACAGGUCAUAGAUACCCGGU